UAAACGGAAAUAAAUUAAAUGUAAGUGCGCAACAUGAAGGAUGGUUCUUGAAAUUUUGUAACUUUUCGACUCUUCCAUAUUUAGUUUCACUCGCCCUUAUGAUCUGCCUAAGAUCUCGACUCCAGACCUUUCAUCAGCCCCCUGCUUGGAUCUCUGCGCGCCGACCAUUCAAACGAGGUGCUCCCUAACCGACGGUCUGAGCGUCUGAAGCAUCCGCCAUGGGUCACAUGAUCUCGGACACCCUCCACUACCUGAUCCACCAGUACGUCUGCAUGAACUACGAUAUCGUGCUCUUCACCUUGCCCAUAGCUUACUUCGUCUGGCUACUGCUCAUCAAAGGGUCACAACAGCGUGCGUGCGGGGAUGUCACACCCAAGCCUCUUUGUUGUUCUUGUCGGAGGAAAGUAACAUGUAAAUAAGGAAAAAAAAGAACCUGGGGGGGGGGGGACUUGUAGUUCUGGAGGUUGUUUUGAGACAAAAGAGCCGAUAGGAGAGAGAGAGAGAGAGAGAGAGAGAGAGAGAGAGAGAGAGAGAGAGAGAGAGAGAGAGAGAGAGAGAGAGAGAGAGAGAGAGAGAGAGAGAGAGAGAGAGUAUGGGGUAGAAGGACUGACCAAAAGUCAAGAGAAUGAAAUUUGCAAAUCAACUCGUAUAAGAGAGAAAAAAAUAGAUGGAGAAGGAGGAAGAGAGAUAUGAGACACAGACAGGGGGUAGGAGGUGAGAGA